UGGGGAAUAUUGCACAAUGGGCGCAAGCCUGAUGCAGCCAUGCCGCGUGUGUGAAGAAGGCCUUCGGGUUGUAAAGCACUUUCAGCGAGGAGGAAGGGUUCAGUGUUAAUAGCACUGUUCAUUGACGUUACUCGCAGAAGAAGCACCGGCUAACUCCGUGCCAGCAGCCGCGGUAAUACGGAGGGUGCAAGCGUUAAUCGGAAUUACUGGGCGUAAAGCGCACGCAGGCGGUUUGUUAAGUCAGAUGUGAAAUCCCCGCGCUUAACGUGGGAACUGCAUUUGAAACUGGCAAGCUAGAGUCUUGUAGAGGGGGGUAGAAUUCCAGGUGUAGCGGUGAAAUGCGUAGAGAUCUGGAGGAAUACCGGUGGCGAAGGCGGCCCCCCUGGACAAAAGACUGACG
rnacentral:rRNA from 1 species